UCCGUAGGUGAACCUGCGGAAGGAUCAUUACCACGAGAGAGGAGAGAGGUGUGCAACCGCACCUGUCAUCUACUUUCUCCACACUCUGUGAACAUGGCAUGAUAGUCCGGAGUGGCGGUAGCGUGGUGUAGAAGCCGCACGAAGUCACCCCCGAGGUUGUACAGGCAGCACGACAGUGUUAGCGUGUACAAUCGCGGUCAUUUACAACAUCCAAACACCAUGCAACCUGUCAAGAUCUAACCAAAACGAAGGAGCUCGUGGCUGUGUGAGUCACAGUGAACGAGCAACCAACCAUAGACAACUUUCAACGAUGGAUGUCUAGGCUCCCACGACGAUGAAGAACGCAGCGAAAUGCGAUACGUCAUGCGAAUUGCAGAACUCAGUGAAUCAUCAAAUCUUCGAACGCACGUUGCACCUCCGGGAAGCCGGGGGUAUGCUUGUUUCAGUGUCCGCCUCACCUCUCUGCCAGUACGCUUAUAUACACAUAUGUGUAUGAGUGUACAUAGCAAGGACAAUGAGUGCACACGGUGUUGUUGUUGUGUAUUACACACACAUCACUGCGUGGCUUGGAGAAGAGGAAGGGGGCACGUAUCUGACGCGAAGCACGUAGCGAUGGCAUGUGUCGUAGCAUGUGAAGCAGAAGGAGACGUGGUGUGGUGACCCACCGCCAAGUCGACGGUCUGCAUGGCAUGUGUGAAAGCGACAUGUGACGUUGGUUAUGUGUAUACAAGGAUACGUGUGUGAUACCCUGAGGAGUGUGCGAUACUAUAUCACAUAGAUAUGGCACACAAUCACCGAACAUAGAGUACGUAAGAACUCUACAGCUCGGACCUGAAAUCAAGCAAGAGGACCCGCUGGAUUUAAGCAUAUAACUAAGCGGAGGAAAAGAAACUAACCAGGAUUCCCCUAGUAACGGCGAGUGAAGCGGGAAGAGCUCAAUCUCUGAAUCGGCGUGUGCGUCCAAGCACAGGCUGAGUUGUAGUGUAUGGAGGCGUUGCCAUGGCUCCAGCAGGACAAAGUCGCCAGGGACGGCGCGUCAGGGAGGGUGACAACCCCGUGAAUGUCUUGCAGGUGGAGGUCAGUACGGUGCGUCUUCUCCGAGUCGAGUUGCUUGGGAAUGCAGCUCUAAGUGGGUGGUAAAUUCCAUCUAAAGCUAAAUAACAGUGGGAGACCGAUAGCGAACAAGUACCGUGAGGGAAAGAUGAAAAGAACUUUGAAAAGACAGUCAAACAGUACCUGAAAUCGUUGAAAGGGAAACGCUUGAAGUAAUCUAGAUGCAU
rnacentral:rRNA from 1 species